AUUGAACGCUGGCGGCAGGCCUAACACAUGCAAGUCGAGCGGAUGACGGGAGCUUGCUCCUGGAUUCAGCGGCGGACGGGUGAGUAAUGCCUAGGAAUCUGCCUGGUAGUGGGGGACAACGUUUCGAAAGGAACGCUAAUACCGCAUACGUCCUACGGGAGAAAGCAGGGGACCUUCGGGCCUCGCGAUAUCAGAUGAGCCUAGGUCGGAUUAGCUUGUUGGUGAGGUAAUGGCUCACCAAGGCGACGAUCCGUAACUGGUCUGAGAGGAUGAUCAGUCACACUGGAACUGAGACACGGUCCAGACUCCUACGGGGGCAGCAGUGGGGAAUAUUGGACAAUGGGCGAAAGCCUGAUCCAGCCAUGCCGCGUGUGUGAAGAAGGUCUUCGGAUUGUAAAGCACUUUAAGUUGGGAGGAAGGGUUGUAGAUUAAUACUCUGCAAUUUUGACGUUACCGACAGAAUAAGCACCGGCUAACUCUGUGCCAGCCGCCGCCGUAACAC
rnacentral:rRNA from 1 species